GACAGAGGGUGCGAACGUUGUUCGGAAUUACUGGGCGUAAAGCGUGUGUAGGCGGCAAUGCAAGUCGGGCGUGAAAUCCCACGGCUCAACCGUGGAAGUGCACUCGAAACUGCAUAGCUAGAGUCCUGGAGAGGAAGGUGGAAUGCUUGGUGUAGAGGUGAAAUUCGUAGAUAUCAAGCGGAACACCGGUGGCGAAGGCGGCCUUCUGGACAGUGACUGACGCUGAGACACGAAAGCGUGGGGAGCAAACAGG
rnacentral:rRNA from 1 species